UAGAUAUUCGUAGAUGAAACAUAGAAUAACGAUCAAUGAUAAUUGUUUCACCGAUAUAAUACUGAAGAUACCUAAAAUCGUCUGAACUUAAUGCACACAUGUCCCCCAUGUUCAACCGGACAUUUGGUAAAUUGAUCUGAUCUGAACGUCCCUACUUCCCAAUAAAACAGACAAGAUAUACGGUCGGUUGCGUCGUCAUAUACACCCCCGUUGAAAAAAAAUCUUUGAUCAGUCAUUGCAUUUGCUCCCAAUAAAAUUGGGUAACUGCUUCGUUUCGUGCUUGAUAUUACAAACAACGUUGGUACAGUAGCAGUUUCAGUAAAAACGAUUUCAGAUUUGUGUAUAUAGAAUAUUACAGAAUUUUCAGUCAGUCAUAGAUAUGAUUAGACGAUAAGGAAUAAGUAGAAGACAAUUUUAAAUCGAUGAUCGUAAUUGGAAAUUACAAAUUUAAACGUGUUUAAGCUCGGUAAUUCGUUUUUAUUCAUUCAGGGGCCCAAAGAAAUAUUGUACCGUGCUGUUCUCCCGAUUCCAUAAGCUGCAAGAUUUCUACCAUCAUCCUCCGCGUUGCGAACAUUCAAUAUUCUUGAGUCUUAUCCUGAAAGCUCUCGCCUGCAAGGCUCUUAUCUCGAGGAAAUUUCAUCUGGAUGCCUUAUUGUAUUGAGUCAUCCGAUCAGCGCGCGGCGCUUCCGGCGCGGAGCGAAACACGACACGAAAACGGGAAUGGCUCGGCAUCGCGUGGCGAUCACACCAAGAAUUUCCAAGGGACUGAAAUUUCAAGCACUGGAGAGUGCCCGCGCGUGACACUUGCAAUUUUCAUGCGCGACCCCGCGGCGAUUACGCGACGCCGAGCGAAUCUCUGAUAAUCGGAUGAUGGAAGAGCAAUUGCAGGGAGAGAGAGAGCGAGAAAUUGCGAUUGCGGUCGCUCGAUUAAUUUGCCGCCCCAUUCGCGUAGUCCUUUAAGCCUGCUGCACGUUGGAAACCCUUGCGGAAGUCAGUGCCACCGUUAAAAAGAAAAGCUUCGUUUCAAGAUCGUGUCCCGAUUCGACGAGAAAAAAUUGCUUAUUCUCCGUUGGUCACUAAAUUGAUAACACCGUAAUUGAACAACGCGUUAAGAAAAAGAUAUCCAGACAUUUAUUUUUAUGUUACUUCUAUUACGUCAAUUAGUAAUUGCACAAAUAAUGCAUUUGUAUAAAUAAAGAAAAACUUGGAAUUACAAAUAUCAGAACUCAUUAAUUCAGGAAUUAUUAAUAUAGGAAACAAGAAUUCGAAAUACAAUUAAAUUUUGCAUUCACCGUCAGGAGAUUCUUUCAUAAAACAUGUUAAAUGUCUGCUGUUUGAAGUUUGAUCAUUUACAGUACUUCUAAGUAAAUUAUUAAAGUCCUCGAGGGAUCAAGUGUUCGUUGAAAAUACUUUAAUGAUAUGGGAACGAAAAAGGAACGUAGGAAAUAUUAUGAAACAAUGAAAGAUUCAUUCUCCCCUCGACGCUGUCGUGCAGUAUCGGUAAAUAAUAAUGGUUUAAACAACCACGCACGUCAGGCAAAACAAGAAUCACUUACUCGAGGGGGAGUAUACUUAAUCAAUUUUUACAGAGUGUUAAACUUUUUGCUGAAAUUCAUUCUGGAGGGUGAUUUUUAAAUGAAUCAGUAAAGUUCAUUCUACCUAUUUAACUCUAAUAAUAUACAGAACUACAAAUCAUUUCCAUCUGUCUAUACCUCAAAAGUAGAUUCUUAUCAGAAACUGUGUCUUGAUUGAUAUCAUAUAAUACAGAAAUACUCUACUCAUAGUUAUAACUCUUUUUAUAACUUGCAAAGAGACAAAGAGCUUUUGCUUUCUAAUACACAAUAUAAAGGAAUUAGUUAACAAUUCGGGUAAAAGAAAAGAAAAUGCUAGGACAAUGAUUAUACGGACUGAAGUAUCUGAUUGGGGAAUAGGAUUGAACGACACCGAGGAUCGGUAUUAAUUCCAAUCUUCUCUGACCGUCGCGACGCGGCGGACUCUAUUCUAGCUAAAUCCAAUCUGGAUCCGGUAAAAGGGAAAAAUGGCGUGGCACUACGUGACAGGAAACGUUCAGAAGACCGGAGGAACUCUUUAUCGUAAUUUAUCAUGACCUUUCUUACAAAAGAGUGCCGACGUUGCGUUAUUUACCUCAUGGGAGCAGUACCAGCAUGUACCAUUCCAAAAUAAUACCAGCGUCUUCUGAAAUUGCACAUAAUGUAGA